rnacentral:rRNA from 1 species
CACGGGGGUUGCGAGCGUUGUCCGGAAUUACUAGGCGUAAAGGGCAGGCAGGCGGAUCCAUAAGUUUAUCGUUUAAGGCGUCGGCUUAACCGGCGUAGGGCGGUAGAUACUGUGGAUCUGGAAUGCGGUUGGGGAAGACAGAAUUCCUGGUGUAGCGGUGGAAUGCGCAGAGAUCAGGAGGAAUACCGAAGGCGAAGGCAGUCUUCCAAGCCGUUAUUGACGGUCAACUGCGAAGGUGUGGGUAUCAAACAGGAUUAGAUACCCUGGUAGUCCCUGAG